GAAAAAACCCUCAAUAAACCACAUAAGUUUCUCCCCCCUUUGCCUCCAAAACUUUUUCACCAAAUAAUUCCUUCCCUCUUUUUAGUCUUAGUCUCAUCAAUUGGUGGCACAAACCUGUUUUCUGAGCCCCAAAAUUUCUUGUAAUUUGGGGCGCAAUCCAAUUAUUUCCUUGACAUAACGUCGAUUUUGGGUCAAAAAAAUUUGGCAGAAUCUACUACAAAUUUUGAAUUCUUCUUCAAGCCAUCUUCAAGGUAUGCCAAUCAAUCCUACUAUUGAUUUGAAAAUAUAACUAAACAAUCUUGAAUUUUGAGAUUAUGUUUUCAAUUUCUUGCAAAGGAAAGCAAAUAAAUAUGGAGGGUGUUCUUUUGUAUAAAUUAUUUAAGCAAGGAUAUGAUUUGGCACAUUUCUGUAAACAAAAAUUUCAUUAGCACAUUUUCGGUAAAAUUUUUGAUUGAAUUUAUCGAGUAAUUUUUUUAAGGUGGAUAGUAUUCAUUUUAUUGUUUUCAUAUUCAAUCAAGGUAGCGUUUUACUUUUCACACCAAAGUAGGAUUUUGAAUGCUUUUUUGAGCCUCAGAUGGACGGAAUUGUUGGUUUACAAUUUUUGACUUAUACUUUAAAUGUCAAUUUUGCUAAGAUGAACCUUUGAAUGAAUUUUCUUCAUAGGUAUUCUUUUUUUAUGACUGUGGGUGUUCGGGCCAACUUACGAGCACCUUGACUAAUCCCACGGGCCCUGUACUUUACAGCCGGGAUACUUACCUCAGUGGCCCUAAGAGGACUCAAACUAGUGACCAUUGAAGAGCAAACCCAAAGCAAGCUACCUCUUAGGGUUAAUGUUCUUCAUUGGUCAUAAACGAUGGCUUUAUUGGAAGACUCAUUUUUCAGAUACAGGACGGUAAUUUUUUUUAGUUUGUUUUUACUGUUUGAUUAUAAAUAUAAUUCAUUUUUAUAAUUUGUUUGUUGAUUUUUUUUUUUUUUUUUAAAAAAAUUGGGGGUUUCUGGAUGUUUACUGUUUUGAUGAUUGUAAUAGGAUUUGAAGUAGGCAACUAUAAAGGGAUUUGGAUUACCAACAGAGAGAUAUUCGUUUGAUUUGGGUGGCUCGUUAGUGGGUAAAUCUGUAGCAUAUGAAUUUGAUGUUCAAAUUGAUAAUAAAGUUCUUCCACUUAAGCUUAUGGAAUAUAGAGAAUGUGAACUAAUUGAAGCAAGUAGAUUUACCCAUUUUUUGAGUAGACAUGAGGAAAGUGAAUAGGUGGAAAGUCGGCGACUGGACCAUCAGAUGCUUGUCUUGGCGCCUGUUCCAGUUGGUUGGUCCAAUGAAAUUGUGGAUUCAGGAUACGAAGAAUAUAAGGAUUUCACUACUGGUAAGUUCAAGUUGCAAUGAUCUGUUUAUCUCCUAUUGUAUGUUUUCAAUGUUUGUGGCAUAUGUGGUAAUGAGUAUUGCAUAGCAAUCAACACUAUUAUGGUGAAAAAGAACUAAAUAUAACCUAAAAUUCUUGUUCAUUCUAAUAUCUCCUGUAAUCGUGUGUUACUGCGUGCAUACACAUGCACUUAUUGUAUUUGUUAAUCAUACCUUUUGGAUGCAUAUAGUUGAACCCUGAACCCUAAAGAAUGGGAGAAACGACAUUUUAUGAUCCAAUUACAGGCCAAGUGUUUGUGAUAUUCUACAGCUCCCAACUCCCUCGUGAACAGCUUCCAG
rnacentral:lncRNA from 1 species